CCUACGGGGCGCAGCAGUAGGGAAUCUUCGGCAAUGGACGAAAGUCUGACCGAGCAACGCCGCGUGAGUGAAGAAGGUUUUCGGAUCGUAAAACUCUGUUGGUAGAGAAGAACGUUGGUGAGAGUGGAAAGCUCAUCAAGUGACGGUAACUACCCAGAAAGGGACGGCUAACUACGUGCCAGCAGCCGCGGUAAUACGUAGGUCCCGAGCGUUGUCCGGAUUUACUGGGUGUAAAGGGCGUGCAGCCGGAGAGACAAGUCAGAUGUGAAAUCCACGGGCUCAACCCGUGAACUGCAUUUGAAACU
rnacentral:rRNA from 1 species